CCUACGGGUGGCAGCAGUGGGGAAUAUUGGACAAUGGGGGCAACCCUGAUCCAGCCAUGCCGCGUGUGUGAAGAAGGCCCUCGGGUUGUAAAGCACUUUCAGUGAGGAAGAACGCCUGGUGGUUAAUACCCAUCAGGAAAGACAUCACUCACAGAAGAAGCACCGGCUAACUCCGUGCCAGCAGCUGCGGUAAUACGGAGGGUGCGAGCGUUAAUCGGAAUUACUGGGCGUAAAGCGCGCGUAGGUGGCUUGAUAAGCCGGUUGUGAAAGCCCCGGGCUCAACCUGGGAACGGCAUCCGGAACUGUCAAGCUAGAGUGCAGGAGAGGAAGGUAGAAUUCCCGGUGUAGCGGUGAAAUGCGUAGAGAUCGGGAGGAAUACCAGUGGCGAAGGCGGCCUUCUGGACUGACACUGACACUGAGGUGCGAAAGCGUGGGUAGCAAACAGGAUUAGAUACCCCUGUAGUC
rnacentral:rRNA from 1 species